UACGUAGGGGGCAAGCGUUGUCCGGAAUCAUUGGGCGUAAAGCGCGUGUAGGCGGCCCGAUAAGUCCGCUGUGAAAGUCCAGGGCUCAACCCUGGAAUGCCGGUGGAUACUGUCGGGCUCGAGUCCGGAAGAGGCGAGUGGAAUUCUCGGUGUAGAGGUGAAAUUCGUAGAUAUCGAGAGGAACACCGGUGGCGAAGGCGGCGAUCUGGACGAUGACUGACGCUGAGACGCGAAAGCGUGGGGAGCAAACAGG
rnacentral:rRNA from 1 species